rnacentral:lncRNA from 1 species
AAACUAGGUCCGCCUUGUCUUCAAGCAACAGGUUCAGCAAGUAGCUCCUUCUGAGGUCUAGUAAGCACUGAGGAUCUGAAGUGAAACCUUCCAGAAGGCAUUGCUGUUGGUACUGAGCAGAUCUCAGCAUCUCUUCCUGACUGGUCUGUGCAAACAUUCCUUUUAAAUACUUUGGGUCAUCAUUACUGGAUCUAUUUCAUGCUUCUUGAAUCUACAGCAUGUCAGGCCCUUUCCAGUUUUUAAACCACUCAGAUCCAGGAAGGCUUGCUACUGGGCAAACCAAUGGACCCCAUGAGGCUAAGUCAUCAGAAGCCAGGCAUCUAUCAGCUCACACAUCUCAGAAAAAUAGCCAAGUGCUUACACAGAGCACAUCUGGUUGAAAAAGAAAAGGCAGAGAGAAAAGCAGACUUUUUGGAGAAGUUGUUCUCAGGCACUAACAGAUUCACCCCUUAUAUGCAUAUGAGUGGACAAGAAGAUUCCUUGGAUAUUUUCAUGAUGAAGGAUAAGAGUGAAGCUAUCCUGGCCAAGAACUUUGAGAGAGACAACACUUUUCACUCUGAAGGACCAAAAAAUGAGCAGAAAAUUUGGGAUAAAUGUCAACAACAUUUGAACUAUAAGGAAAAACAAGCAUCUGAGUUAGACAGACCUCCAUAUUCAUUCAACUGGGAAACUAAAACUGUGCAGUCCCAAUAUCAGAAUUUCCUUGGUCAGUUGGCUACUCUUCUGAGUGACAGCAUUGUCUCCAUACCAGCCACAGAGGAGGCUGUGAAAAACAGGAUUCAGAAAAUUGGUGCAAAUGAGAAAUCUUGGAAAUCUAGAACCAAAAGCCUUCAGCAGGAAAUCCAGAUGCUCACUAAACAACUAGAGCAGCUGCAUCAUCUUUAUGAGGAAGUUGCUCAAGAAUCAUCCCAAGCUGAAGAAAAGUGUUGGGAACAAAAAAGACCCUUGAAACGUCAGGAAAGAAAAAUUUCGAUCAAUGACUUUUUUCAAGAGAGAUUAGACUUGUACAGGAAGAAAAAACUGCCCAGGGAUUCUCAGGAUUUAUAAAUUUGUUGCCAUGUGAACCUCAGCAGUUAGUGGUAUCACUACCAAAGAAGCUGUCCUGCAAACUUGGAGAAGGAGCCUCUUUCCCCAGACUCCAGGAUCCCUGACUGCAAUGUUACCCUUCUUCUUAAUAUCACCAGCUGAACAAAAGAAGAAAGAUGAAGGACACUGUGCCCAGAGCCUCCUCUUGCAGCCCCAGCCUGCUGAAGCUGUAAAAACCACCUUUUUAUUCAGAAUUUCCCCAGAGCCACGGCCCAAGGAUCAUCUGCCUGCUGCAGCCUCAGCACACAGGAGCCUGGCCAUGAACCAAGUAGACCCUCUCCUCCUAGGACACUCUUCUCUCAGGAAAUGUAGGCACUACCAGCUCCUACAGCCAAACUCUCCACGAAAGCCAAGGUGUUAAGGUGGGCCAGCUUCUGAAAGAGCCACUUUCUGAACAUAUCAAAGAAAAAUCUCUUGUAAAAACAAAGAGGGCUUAGUGUAAAUGCUCCAUUAUGAAUUGUGUUAGUAGAAACUGAUUGUUCAACCAUAGGACAGUACAAAACAUUAGCUGUUAACUCAGAAAACGGGAGAUCCUUCAAGCACCUGGAACCCUCUUUUCUAGAAAAGCUUUUAAUUAUGUGGCCAAAUCACUGCCACACUCUUCUUUAAUGAUAAGUAUUGGAUUUAGAUUUAAGGCUUUAGAUAAAAAAUUAUCAACCUUCAAGAUGCAAUGAAAUGAUCUAAUUAAGGAAAUAUUUUCCUAGUCCUAUCCAGAGAUUCCAGUUCAGUUUGUGGCAUGGGGCUGAAGUAUGGAUAUUUUUUCAAUGCUCCUUAAGUAUAUAAAUUGAUAAAAUUACUUUGGAAAACUCGCAGUGUGUGAGAUUUCUGUUGCUGCUAUAACAAAUUAUCACCAAUUUUGUGGCUAAAACAAUAAAAAUUUAUUAUCUUACAGUUGUAGAGGUCCCAAUAGGCUAAAAUUAAAGUGUCAACAGAGUGUGUUCCUUCUGGAAAGGGGAAAAUCCAUUUCUUUGCCUCUUCCAACUUGUAGAGAUUGCCCAC